AGAAGUCGUAGCAAGGUUNCCGUAGGUGAACCUGCGGAAGGAUCAUUA
rnacentral:rRNA from 1 species